GACGGAGGGUGCAAGCGUUGCUCGGAAUCACUGGGCGUAAAGGGCGCGUAGGCGGUCACGCACGUCCGUUGUGAAAUCGCUCGGCUCAACUGGGCGGGGUCAGCGGAUACGGCGUGGCUGGAGCAAGCUAGGGGGCAAUGGAAUUCCCGGUGUAGUGGUGGAAUGCGUAGAUAUCGGGAGGAACACCAGUGGCGAAGGCGGUUGCCUGGAGCUUUGCUGACGCUGAUGCGCGAAAGCGUGGGGAGCGAUCCGG
rnacentral:rRNA from 1 species